rnacentral:rRNA from 1 species
GACAGAGGUGCCGAGCGUUAGGCGGAAUCACUGGGCUUAAAGCGUGUGUAGGCGGAUGGGUAAGUACCUUGUGAAAUCCCACGGCUCAACCGUGGAACUGCUCGGUAUACUGCUCGUCUUGAGCCAACUAGGGGCGACCGGAACAAACGGUGGAGCGGUGAAAUGCGUAGAUAUCGUUUGGAACGCCGAUGGUGAAAACAGGUCGCUGGGGUUGUGCUGACGCUGAGACACGAAAGCGUGGGGAGCGAACGGG